GUGGGGAAUUUUGGACAAUGGGCGCAAGCCUGAUCCAGCAAUGCCGCGUGCAGGAAGAAGGCCUUCGGGUUGUAAACUGCUUUUGUACGGAACGAAACGGUUCUGGUUAAUACCCGGGGCUAAUGACGGUACCGUAAGAAUAAGCACCGGCUAACUACGUGCCAGCAGCCGCGGUAAUACGUAGGGUGCAAGCGUUAAUCGGAAUUACUGGGCGUAAAGCGUGCGCAGGCGGUUGUGUAAGACAGGCGUGAAAUCCCCGGGCUCAACCUGGGAAUUGCGCUUGUGACUGCACGGCUGGAGUGCGGCAGAGGGGGAUGGAAUUCCGCGUGUAGCAGUGAAAUGCGUAGAUAUGCGGAGGAACACCGAUGGCGAAGGCAAUCCCCUGGGCCUGCACUGACGCUCAUGCACGAAAGCGUGGGGAGCAAACAGGAUUAGAUACCCGGGUAGUCC
rnacentral:rRNA from 1 species